GGCGACUACACGUGCCCCCCGACUUCCUUCCCUUCUGCCAACCUGGCGCCUUGUCACCACGCUUAUACUGUAGGAGGAUGCCACGUCAUUAUACCCGACCACCAGGGCGGUACACAAGCCCCCCAGUCUUAAGCGAAGACUUGUCUAGCGAAAAGACUGAAAGAGCCUUCGUUAACACCGAUCUACGUGGCACUGACGCAGAAUUCCAAGUGAUUGUACUUUCUG
rnacentral:lncRNA from 1 species